UACGUAGGGGGCAAGCGUUGUCCGGAUUUAUUGGGCGUAAAGAGCGUGUAGGCGGCCAGGUAGGUCGGUUGUGAAAACUGGAGGCUCAACCUUCAGACGUCGACCGAAACCCCCUGGCUAGAGUCCGGAAGGAGGAGAGUGGAACUUCCGUGGUGUGAGCGGUGAAAUGCGCAGAUAUCAGGAAGAACACCCGUGGCGAAGGCGGCUCUCUGGGACGGUACUGACGCUGAGACGCGAAAGCGUGGGGAGCGAACAGG
rnacentral:rRNA from 1 species